GUUGACCUCGAAUCAGGUAGGACUACCCGCUGAACUUAA
rnacentral:rRNA from 11 species